AACUUUCAACAACGGAUCUCUUGGUUCUCGCAACGAUGAAGAACGCAGCGAAAUGCGAUACGUAUUGUGAAUUGCAGAUUUUCGUGAAUCAUCGAAUCUUUGAACGCACAUUGCACCCUCUGGUAUUCCAGAGGGUAUGCCUGUUUGAGCGU
rnacentral:rRNA from 1 species